GCAAACUUUCUCUUUCUCUUAGGCCUUAACUCUAAAACUCAGAGACAGAGACGUUGAGCCUUCCUGCACAUGUGGAAAGGUUGUUAGAAGCCUCGGCCUGCAACAUUUUUUUGUUUGUUUGCUUAUUAAUGGAUCCAGUGGAAAUGAACAAGACCAUUUCACAAGACUAAGCUGUACCAAGAUGCAGAAAUAAUCAGGGCAGGGCAGCAGAGGACUGAGCCUUGUGCCCAAGAACACCAGUUGGUCAGCAGAACUCGGAGAGGUAGAUCAGCAUCCUGACUCUCCCACGUGGGGCCACAUUUCCUAUCUCGCUUGUCUUCAUUUGUCGUCUGACCAUCACACUUCUGCAGUUUUCAUAGGCAGCCAUGGUGGGGGUCAUUAUAAUAGAUGAAGAAAGUACUAGAAAGCAAGGAGCUGAAAAAGAGAGAUAUCUUGAGAGAGCAGACACACAUUGCCAUAGGAGGAGACCUUGAGUUUACCCUGUCCAGGGCACUUCCUGGGGAGUGACCCCCCUCACACUGGCUAGAGGAGCAUUGGCCCCUCUGCAGGCAUAUCUCUCCUUAGGGGCCUGGCAUCGUCCAUUCAUAAGUAUCUCAUCAAUUCACUUUUUU